rnacentral:lncRNA from 1 species
ACUACCACCGAGGCUCUCUCUCUGCUCGCUAGAACGGCAGCUAGAAAACUGGGAGGAGAGCUUCCUGGCCGCAUGAGCAAACUAGCAGCCCCUGAAGGGCGAUGAGAAAGAUAUGUAGGUGUGAUGCCUGGAACUCACGCAGCUAUCUUGCAACGACGAGGAUGAGGCUAAGAGAAUAGGAGAGAUCCUUGCUCAAACAGGCUGAACUUGAGUAUUUCGGGCCCUCAGAAGGAAGGACAAAGAUCCUGGAGAACUCUCCUGUAGUGUCCUUGUUUUGAGUAGCAAUGGAGGUGUAAACUGUGUCUGAUCUUCGAGUGAGAUGGAAAAAAAAAUUAAUUUGCCGCAUCAGUGUCCAUAUCCCAG